rnacentral:lncRNA from 1 species
GGAAAGAUACUAAUUAGGGUCUUCGUCACUGCAUAGUCUGAUUCAGUACAACUUCUUGUUGCAGAGGAAGCAAGGGAAAGUUACACACACCACUCCUGGAUUCAAACAGACUCGAGCUAUCCAGAGAAGACUGAAAGAAUAUAUGGAGCAGAGACUAUCCCUGGAGAGUAUUUAGACAAUAUUCCUUGAAGGACUGGGAGAAGAGGAGGAGAAGGACUGGGAGAAGGUGUGGAGAAAAAUCAUUGAUGCUAACAUGAAUU